UACGUAGGGUGCGAGCGUUGUCCGGAAUUAUUGGGCGUAAAGAGCUUGUAGGCGGUUUGUCGCGUCUGCCGUGAAAAUUCGAGGCUCAACCUCGAACUUGCGGUGGGUACGGGCAGACUAGAGUGUGGUAGGGGAGACUGGAAUUCCUGGUGUAGCGGUGAAGUGCGCAGAUAUCAGGAGGAACACCGAUGGCGAAGGCAGGUCUCUGGGCCACUACUGACGCUGAGGCGCGACAGCGUGGGGAGCAAACAGG
rnacentral:rRNA from 1 species